rnacentral:misc_RNA from 1 species
UUCAAUGUGCCGACGUUCGGGCCCGGGGUUGUGUUUGAUGUUGAUUAUUCGGUGAGGCAGGAGCAGUUCAGGUUCUUUACGGAGGCGUUGAGGGUCACUAAGCUGAAGAGCUAUGUGGAUCAGAUGGUUGUCGAGGCAGAGGACUACUUCUCAAAAUGGGGUGAGAGUGGCACUGUGGAUUUAAAGUACGAACUGGAGCAUCUGAUCAUAUUGACAGCAAGUAGAUGCCUGCUGGGUAGAGAGGUACGGGACAAACUCUUCGAUGACGUCUCCGCUCUCUUCCAUGAUCUAGACAACGGCAUGCGCCCCAUCAGCGUCAUCUUCCCUUACCUUCCCAUCCCCUGCCACCGUCGUCGUGACCGGGCCCGAGCAAGAAUUGCCGAG